rnacentral:lncRNA from 1 species
CGCCGCUGAUGCUGCUGCCACCGCCGCCUCUGUCGCCGCUGCCGCCGCCGCUACCACCACCACCAGCCCCGCCGCUUCCUAGCAAGCUCACUGCUGCCCAAAAGCUCCUAGCCAGGGAACUCCACCAGCCUAUUUAUCUGAGCCCCGGGAACGCUCCGUGACGUAGCUGCCCAUAUAUGGACAGACAAAGCCCAGCCGAAGGGGCGCGACGUCACAAUGGAAGCUCCUCACAAUGGAACAUUAGAAAGCAGGAAGCGGGCCGCAGCCAACGUGCAAGCGCCCAGCACCGCACGCCGCUCUUAAAAAAAAGAGAGAAAGACACAAAUAAGAGAAGAAAGAAGGAAAAUGCGAGAGGAGAGAGGAAAAGAGGGAUGCAGUUGGAUGCAAAGCGCAAAAAGAGCGCAGUGGAAAAACCAGCCACCAAGCUUGUGGUUCCAAAGCAGCCUCUUUGGCCACAGGAUGGCAGGAGGUCCCAGCAGGCCCGGGCACAUUCGCGAUCUACUGCUGCCUGCGAAGGGCCCGCCGCUGAGCUGCAGGAGGAGGACGCCGACCGAACCCACGGUCUCAGCUUCAGCGGCGGCGGCUUCCCCUAGUUUGCACCCUCCUCCUCGCCUUCACAGGGCUGCCCUCGUUGCUGCCUGCCGGCGCCCCGCAGUGAAGGGCGGCCUGUGUGCCGUCCCGGGGCGCUGUCACCUCCCCGAGCGG